rnacentral:rRNA from 1 species
AUUGAACGCUGGCGGCAGGCCUAACACAUGCAAGUCGAGCGGGGUUUUCGGACCUAGCGGCGGACGGGUGAGUAAUGCGUAGGAAGCUACCCGAUAGAGGGGGAUACCAGUUGGAAACGACUGUUAAUACCGCAUAAUGUCUACGGACCAAAGUGUGGGACCUUCGGGCCACAUGCUAUCGGAUGCGCCUACGUGGGAUUAGCUAGUUGGUGGGGUAAUGGCUCACCAAGGCGACGAUCCCUAGCUGGUUUGAGAGGAUGAUCAGCCACACUGGAACUGAGAAACGGUGCAGACUCCUACGGGAGGCAGCAGUGGGGAAUAUUGGACAAUGGGCGCAAGCCUGAUCCAGCCAUGCCGCGUGGGUGAAGAAGGCCUUCGGGUUGUAAAGCACUUUCAGUAGGGAGGAAGGGUGUUGUGUUAAUAGCACAGCAUUUUGACGUUACCUACAGAAGAAGCACCGGCUAACUCUGUGCCAGCAGCCGCCGUAAAAC